CGGCAGCUUCCCCGCUAGGGAGCCAGGACAGCGCCAGCUCCGCCUCCUCCGGCUCCGCGGGCGGCGGCGGCGGGGACGACGGCGCGCGGCGAGGGACACGCACUUUCGCAACGCGAACGCUCUCCGGGCCCGAAGAGCGCCCCCGCCGUCAGGUUCGCCGCAGCGCAGUGCCGGGGAGCCUCGCCCGGCCGCCUCGGGGCACAGCGGCCAGGAGAGAAGCCACGUAGUUCCUACAGCAGUCAGGAGCUGUUGACAGAUUGCUUGGGCUUGAAUCCAGAUUCCAUCACCCAACAGCUGUGUGAUCCUGAAAAGUCUUCCUCCUUUUCUUACCAAGCCCACUAUGGUGAAGCAAAAAAGUCCAGUACCAAGAAAGACCCGUGGGGUGUCGCGCGCAGUUAAGCAGCAGCAGCAGGAGCAGUAGCCGCUGUGUGAGGGAGCCAUGAAG